GCUGGUAUAGCACAGUCGGUAGUGCAGCUGAUUCGUAAUCAGCAGGUCAGCGGUUCGAUUCCGCUUACCAGCU
rnacentral:tRNA from 1 species